AGAGAGAGACAUGCGCGCAUAUCAAUAAGCGGAGGAAAAGAAACUAACUAGGAUUCCCUCAGUAACGGCGAGUGAAGCGGGAAGAGCUCAAAUUUGAAAUCUUCAAGGUUUACCUUGACGAAUUGUAGUUUAAAGAAGUGUUUUCUGUUAGUGAGAGUGGUAAAAGUUCUUUGGAAUAGGACAUCAUAGAGGGUGAGAAUCCCGUAUUUGACCAUUAUUUUCAGCUGUGUGAUACACUUUCAAAGAGUCGGAUUGUUUGGGAAUGCAGUCCAAAAUGGGUGGUAAAUUUCAUCUAAAGCUAAAUACUGGCGAGAGACCGAUAGCGAACAGGUACCGUGAGGGAAAGAUGAAAAGAACUUUGAAAAGAGAGUUAAACAGUACGUGAAAUUGUCAAAAGGGAAGCGUUUGACACCAGUGUUGUUUUCUCGAAAAUCAAUUAAAAAUGGCCGGAUUUUGUGUUGUAUUGACUUUAUCAGCUUUCUGCACUUUUUUCUUGUCUUUUUUAAUGCACUUUUCGUUUAACAAGUCAACAUCAAUUUCUUUUGUUGUAAAAGAGUCAUUGGAAGGUGGCUUUCACUUCGGUGAAAGUGUUUAUAGCCUUUGAUCUCUGCAACCGGAGAGACUGAGGUCUGCAGCGUAGACUCUUCGGGGUUAGAUACAUUUGUGCUAAGCUAUAGCUUUUUAUAGACAACUUGUUGACUAUAUUUAGUCUUGUGGCUUACUCGCUUAUGCUAUUUUACCUACGCUUAGGAUGUUGACAGCAGUAUAGACUGU
rnacentral:rRNA from 1 species